rnacentral:snRNA from 1 species
CCGGAAGCCGGGUUACGGU